UUUUUAUUUUAAUUUGUUUAAAAUCUGCAGAAAAUUCUGCAGAAAAUUCUGCAGAAAAUUCUGCAGAAAAUUCUGCAGAAAAUUCUGCGGAAUUCUGCUGAACAUUCUGAAGAAUAUUCACAAA